CGUGGGUAACCUGCCCGGAAGUGGGGAAUACCUCGGGGAAACUCGAGCUAAUACCGCAUGACAUCUUCGGGACGAAAGUCCUGACGAUCAAAGCGGGGUCGCAAGAUCUCGCGCUACCGGAUGGGCCCGCGCCCGAUUAGCUUGUUGGUGAGGUAACGGCUCACCAAGGCUUCGAUCGGUAACCGGCCUGAGAGGGCGAUCGGUCACACCGGAACUGAGACACGGCCCGGACUCCUACGGGAGGCAGCAGUGGGGAAUCUUGCGCAAUGGGCGAAAGCCUGACGCAGCAACGCCGCGUGGAGGAUGAAGGCCCUUGGGUUGUAAACUCCUGUCGGCUGGGAAGAAAUCGUACGGUGCUCAUACCACCGUGCGUUGACUGUACCAGCAAAGGAAGCCCCGGCUAACUCUGUGCCAGCAGCCGCGGUAAUACAGAGGGGGCCAGCGUUAUUCGGAAUUAUUGGGCGUAAAGGGCGCGUAGGCGGCCUUGCGUGUCUUCCGUGAAAUCCCUCGGCUCAACUGAGGACGUGCGGAAGAAACUGCAGGGCUCGAGUCCGGGAGAGGGGGGUGGAAUUCCCAGUGUAGCGGUGAAAUGCGUAGAUAUUGGGAGGAACACCGGUGGC
rnacentral:rRNA from 1 species